UUUUUUUGAUUUGAGGAUCCACGGGAUUGAUAGGCAUUAGCAGCGAGGAAGGACGUGUAGGAGGACGAUAUGCCUUUUUGAGGAUGUCUGAAUGAAGCGGAAGCGCUUGGGGACCCCUUNNACUUAAGCAUAAGCUUGGA
rnacentral:rRNA from 1 species